CUUAUUUUUAUCUCUUGUAUUUCACAGUGCUGGCCAGAUCUCAGUUGUAUUAAAAUGUUGAAUUGUUGAAAAUGUAUUCUUUAAAAUGUAGGUUGAAAG